CACAGAGGUCUCAAGCGUUGUUCGGAAUUACUGGGCGUAAAGGGUGCGCAGGCCGCGCGGGCAGUCAAAUGUGUAAUUCAGGGGCUCAACCCCUGCACUGCGCUUGAUACUUCCGCGCUCGAGCUUUGGAGAGGAGUCUGGAAUUCUCGGUGUAGCAGUGAAAUGCGUGGAUAUCGAGAAGAACACUUAGGGCGAAGGCAAGACUCUGGACAAAUGCUGACGCUCAUGCACGAAGGCUAGGGUAGCGAACGGG
rnacentral:rRNA from 1 species